GGGCAGGUAGCUCAGUCGGUAGAGCAGCUGAUUGAAAAUCAGCGGGUCGCUGGUUCAAGUCCGGUCCUGCCCACCA
rnacentral:tRNA from 2 species